rnacentral:rRNA from 1 species
GAACGUACCCUCAGGACGGGGAUAGCUACGGGAAACUGUAGGUAAUACCCGAUAACCUCCGCGGAGCGAAGGUGUGAUUCCGCCUGGGGAGCGGCUUACGCGAUAUUAGCUAGUUGGUGGGGUAAUGGCCUACCAAGGCGAUGAUGUCUAGGGGGUGUGAGAGCAUGGCCCCCACGACCGGAACUGAGAUACUGUCCGGACACCUACGGGUGGCUGCAGUCGAGAAUCUUCCGCAAUGGACGAAAGUCUGACGGAGCGACGCCGCGUGCGGGAUGAAGGCCCUUGGGUUGUAAACCGCUGUCAGAGGGGAUGAAAUCUUCGGAGGUACUCCUCCGAAGUUGACAGAGCCUCAAAGGAAGCACGGGCUAAGUACGUGCCAGCAGCCGCGGUAAU